rnacentral:rRNA from 1 species
CGCAACCCUUGUCCUUAGUUACCAGCACGUUAAGGUGGGCACUCUAAGGAGACUGCCGGUGACAAACCGGAGGAAGGUGGGGAUGACGUCAAGUCAUCAUGGCCCUUACGGCCUGGGCUACACACGUGCUACAAUGGUCGGUACAAAGGGUUGCCAAGCCGCGAGGUGGAGCUAAUCCCAUAAACCGAUCGUAGUCCGGAUCGCAGUCUGCAACUCGACUGCGUGAAGUCGGAAUCGCUAGUAAUCGUGAAUCAGAAUGUCACGGUGAAUAACGUUCCCGGGCCUU